UACGUAGGGUGCGAGCGUUGUCCGGAAUUAUUGGGCGUAAAGGGCUCGUAGGCGGUCUGUCGCGUCGGGAGUGAAAACUCAGGGCUUAACCCUGAGCCUGCUUCCGAUACGGGCAGACUAGAGGUAUGCAGGGGAGAACGGAAUUCCUGGUGUAGCGGUGGAAUGCGCAGAUAUCGGGAGGAACGCCGGUGGCGAAAGCGACUGUCUGGGGUGCCUGUGACGCUGAGGCGCGAAAGCCAGGGGAUCAAACGGG
rnacentral:rRNA from 1 species